AGCCGCGGCGGAGGGGCUGUGCGCUGCGGUUGCGUGGCUGAGGUGUGCUGUGGGCUGGCCGCCGCCCGCCGUGCCGCUCGCCUCUGCCGGGCUUCAGGGUGUGCUUGUGCCUCGCCGGCCCCACGGCUGCGGCGCGGCCCCGCUCUGCGGGAUGGACAUGCUAUAGCGUACCCACGGAAGGGCAACAGAGCUGGUGAAAGGUCUGCAGAACAGAUCUGGUGAGGAGAAAAGGAGGCUGAGGGGAGAGCUUCUUCCUUCCUGCAGUUCCCUGAUAGGAGGUCGUACUGAGGUGGGUGGUAGCUGCUUUUCCCUGGGAACAAGUGACAGGAGGAGAGCAGGUGGUCUCUGGCUGCACCAGGAGAGGUUUAGGUUGUACAUGAGAAGAAGCUUCUCUCCUGAGAGGUUCCGAGCAGGCUAUUCAGGGAGGUGGCCGAACCUGCGCUUCUGGAGGUGCCGAAAAGACAUGGUGCCUGGGACGUGGGUGAGCGGCCGUGGUGCUAUUGGCUUCGUGGUUGGACUUAAUGAGGUCUUUUCUUUUCAAAUCUCAGUGAUUUGAUAAUCCUAGACAUGGUAGAACAAGCAGCUGGAACCCUUCUGACCACGGGAGGACAGCUGCCCUUGUGCCCUUCCGAAAGAGAUGACUCCCGGAGCUUCCCAUGGCUGCUCCUGUGUCCAGUGUGGUCGCAGCUGUGAAAAGAAACAAACAAAAAAAGCUUUGAGCAUCUACCACAGCCCUCUGCCAGGCAGGAAGGUGGAGUACAAGGAAUCUCAAGCUCAGCAGGUACAGAAUCACAGGAAACACCUGUUUGGAAGGGGCCUCAAAGAUCACCCAGUCCAACUCUCCACUCGGCACUGAAGAAUCAACAUUAAACCACAUGUCCCUAAGCACCAGGUCCACACGCUGCUUAAACACCUCCAGGGAUGGUGACUCCAUCACUGCCCUGGGCAGACCGUUCCAGUGUUUGAGAACCCUUUCAGUGAAGAAAUACUUCCUAACAUUCAGCCUGAACCUUCCCUGGUGCCGCUUGAAACCAUUUCCUCUGGUCCUGCAGCUUGACACCAUGGAGAAGAGGUUGCCCCCUCCUCCAAUCUCCAGGCAGUUGUAGAGAGCAAUGAGGUCUCCCCUCAGCCUCCUUUUCUCCAGACUGAACAACUGCAUGGUCUCUGCCUCAAAGCCAGGCUGGGAUACUCCCAAGAGGAGCUUAGAAGAGCUGGAGAGCAGUUGCUGUGAGGGGUGGCAGGGUCGCAGCCCCAGCUCCAUCCAGCGGGGAAGAAGAAACCCAAAGGUGAAGGCAGUGCUUCCUCGCUAUCAUCUUUUUCAUCUAUGUGCCGAGUGCAGGCCAUUAAAAUGAAAGGUGAAAUUA